rnacentral:rRNA from 1 species
AGAGCGAACGCUGGCGGCAGGCUUAACACAUGCAAGUCGAGCGCCCCGCAAGGGGAGCGGCAGACGGGAGGGUAACACGUGGGAACGUACCCUUCAGUUCGGAACAACCCAGGGAAACUUGGGCUAAUACCGAAUACGUCCGUAAGGAGAAAGAUUUAUCGCUGAAGGAUCGGCCCGCGUCUGAUUAGCUUGUUGGUGAGGUAACGGCUCACCAAGGCGACGAUCAGUAGCUGGUCUGAGAGGAUGAUCAGCCCCACUGGGACUGAGACACGGCCCAGACUCCUACGGGAGGCAGCAGUGGGGAAUAUUGGACAAUGGGCGCAAGCCUGAUCCAGCCAUGCCGCGUGGGUGAUGAAGGCCCUAGGGUUGUAAAGCCCUUUCGGGCGGGGAAGAUAAUGACGGUACCCGCAGAAGAAGCCCCGGCUAACUUCGUGCCAGCAGCCGC